rnacentral:rRNA from 1 species
CAGCCGCCACGGGAAUACGAAGGGUGCAAGCGUUAAUCGGAAUUACUGGGCGUAAAGUGUGCGCAGGCGGUUUGUUAAGACAGAUGUGAAAUCCCCGGGCUCAACCUGGGAACUGCAUUUGUGACUGGCAAGCUAGAGUGUGGCAGAGGGGGGUGGAAUUCCGCGUGUAGCAGUGAAAUGCGUAGAUAUGCGGAGGAACACCGAUGGCGAAGGCAGCCCCCUGGGCCAACACUGACGCUCAUGCACGAAAGCGUGGGGAGCAAACAGGAUUAGAUACCCCCGUAGUCCCUGUCUCUUAUAC